CAGGCUGCUCCCUGAGAGGAGAUGCUGUAGGGCCAGAGAGCAUCCUUCACCAGGAUGCCCCCUUGAACGUGAUGGUGCCCGAUGUCAAACAACAGAAGUGGGUUCUGCUUGGUCUAACACCUAGGCUCACAGACCCCACACUGUGGGGUUGGUGCUCCUCACAUCCCCUUGCCACCUUUUCUUGGCUAAAUCCAUCAUCUGCCUGAAUUUCAGAGCAAGUGUUCUGACAUUGGACCUGGCCAAUUCUCUGCCAUCAAACUUCUGAAGUACAUUUUGUUUUUUGGUGUCAAUUGUAUGUUUGCAACAAAGAUUGUUAAUGAAACAUAUGCUUCUGAAAACGUAUUUUCUCCAGUUGACAGAAGGCAUCAAGAUUUCUAUACUAGGACUGGUAGGCUAUUCCAGCCAUCAAAAAUGCAGUGUUCUGGAGUCCAUUUCUAUGCACUUAUGUAACUUCACAAUUUUUUUUUUUUGUGAACAGUUUAUUUCUUUUCUUCCCUUUGACACAUGAAUGUUUUGCCACUUUGUUGGCUGCUUUUUUUUAACUACUGACUGGUUUUAUUUUGCUCCUCCGCAGAGGCUCACAGGAAUCUACUUUUACUCACCUAUUAUCACUUGCUUUACUGCUGGUAACAGGAAUUUGCCAAUGGAAAUAUCUUAAGAGAGAGACUACAGAGAUUUGCUGUAUGUUAAUUCAUAAAUGAAGUACCUAUUUUAAUCUAGCUUUCCAAGUCUUUUAUGGUGAGACUGUCAUUAAGGCAAAUAUUAAGUUUUCUUUCCUUACAUACACAAUGGAACAUUGAUGAAAAACUACAAGACAAGAACUUAAAAGCAGAUCUCUUACUAGCAUAGGCUCACUCUACUCAAAAGCUGUGUCUUUCAUAAAUACCCCAGAGUUUAAGCAAAAACUCUACUGUCAGUGUAGAAUUCAGACUCAGGAUAACAUUACACCAUAUGUGACAGGUGAAGGCUAAGCUUCUGUAGGUUCUGUAAUAGAAA